rnacentral:rRNA from 1 species
AUUGAACGCUGGCGGCAUGCCUUACACAUGCAAGUCGAACGGCAGCGGGCCUUCGGGUGCCGGCGAGUGGCGAACGGGUGAGUAAUGCAUCGGAACGUGCCAUUGAGUGGGGGAUAACGUAGCGAAAGUUACGCUAAUACCGCAUAUUCUGUGAGCAGGAAAGCAGGGGACCGCAAGGCCUUGCGCUCUUUGAGCGGCCGAUGUCAGAUUAGCUAGUUGGUGAGGUAAAGGCUUACCAAGGCGACGAUCUGUAGCGGGUCUGAGAGGAUGAUCCGCCACACUGGAACUGAGACACGGUCCAGACUCCUACGGGAGGCAGCAGUGGGGAAUUUUGGACAAUGGGCGCAAGCCUGAUCCAGCCAUGCCGCGUGAGUGAAGAAGGCCUUCGGGUUGUAAAGCUCUUUCGGGAGGGAAGAAGGCGCAAGCCUGACGGUACCUCGCAAGAAAGCACCGGCUAACUCUGUGCCAGCAGCCGCGGUAAU